CAGACAUGUUCAAGGCCAAUUCUGAACACGCUUCCUUACAGCUUUGGGCCUGUCAGUUCCCCUUUCUUCAUCUAAGGCGACCAGCCUAAAAUUGGGAAAGGGACCUGCCCUGUGCCGUCCAAACCCAGAGUGCCCAGGUGUACACCAUCCCUCUCAAGAGAGAGACCCAUCCCGGGACCUGUGCCUCAGAAAGAAAUGGCUGAGCACCUAUCAAUCAAAAUGCUGUUGCCGUCCGUACCAGGCGCUGUGUUAGCACCCAGUCUCCUGGCUCUGAAUGUCUGCAUAGCAAUCUACAGCAUGUAUCCAUCAUCCCGUAAUGACAAAGAAACAGGUUUUCUUCACGCUUUCAUCACACCUCUGUGAUGGAAAUCUUCAUCUAUCACCAUAUUAACCUGUGUGAUGGGGUCUCUGGGGCAUGUGCUGCAAGGGAAAUGCUACUGGAAGUUACAUGUUCUGGUCUGGAUCUACAAGCUGACUAAGCAGCACCAUAUUGCCCUUCAGGGGAGUGACAUCCAUCACCCUCCCACAGCGACUCUCUGGACUCUCUCCUCUCUGCAUCACACUGGGUAUUACACAACUUUUCCUCCACGAGAAAAAUAAUUAGUAUCUCUCCCAAACACCAGUUUUCUGAUGACUCAUAAAUUUGAGCAUCUUUUUACAUAUUUUCUAGUUUCUUGAAUAAAGAGCUGUUCUUUUUGUUCAUUUUCCUGUCGGGGUUUCUGUCUUUUUCCUUGAUG